GAUGAACGCUGGCGGCGUGCCUAAUACAUGCCAGUCGAGCGAACAGACGAGGAGCUUGCUCCUCUGACGUUAGCGGCGGACGGGUGAGUAACACGUGGAUAACCUACCUAUAAGACUGGGAUAACUUCGGGAAACCGGAGCUAAUACCGGAUAACAUGUUGAACCGCAUGGUUCAACAGUGAAAGACGGUCUUGCUGUCACUUAUAGAUGGAUCCGCGCCGCAUUAGCUAGUUGGUAAGGUAACGGCUUACCAAGGCAACGAUGCGUAGCCGACCUGAGAGGGUGAUCGGCCACACUGGAACUGAGACACGGUCCAGACUCCUACGGGAGGCAGCAGUAGGGAAUCUUCCGCAAUGGGCGAAAGCCUGACGGAGCAACGCCGCGUGAGUGAUGAAGGUCUUCGGAUCGUAAAACUCUGUUAUUAGGGAAGAACAAAUGUGUAAGUAACUAUGCACGUCUUGACGGUACCUAAUCAGAAAGCCACGGCUAACUACGUG
rnacentral:rRNA from 1 species